GCCAGCCCGCUCAAGAAACUUAAAGGAAGUUGACGGGGCCCGCCGACAAGCGGAGGAGCAUGUGGUUUAAUUCGAUGAUACGCGAGGAACCUUACCUGGGCUCGAACGUAAGAUGACUGUAGGUGAAAGCUUACAUCUCUUCGGAGCAUUUUACGAGGUGCUGCAUGGUUGUCGUCAGCUCGUGCCGUGAGGUGUCGGGUUAAGUCCCAUAACGAGCGCAACCCCUACCUUUAGUUGCCAUCAGGUUAAGCUGGGGACUCUAAAGGAACUGCCUACGCAAGUAGUGAGGAAGGCGGGGAUGACGUCAAAUCAGCACGGCCCUUACGUCCAGGGCUACACACGUGCUACAAUGGCCGAUACAGAGGGCAGCUACCUGGUGACAGGAUGCAAAUCUCCAAAGUCGGUCUCAGUUCGGAUCGGAGUCUGCAACCCGACUCCGUGAAGUUGGAUUCGCUAGUAAUCGCGCAUCAGCCAUGGCGCGGUGAAUACGUUCCCGGGCCUU
rnacentral:rRNA from 1 species